UUCGCAAUGCCCGAAAGGGUGACGAAGCGACGCCGCGUGGGUGAGGAAGGCCCUCGGGUUGUAAAGCCCUGUCAGGAGUUAAGAAAUGUAGAUUCGCUAAUAUCGCGUCUAUUUGACGAAGGCUCCAAAGGAAGCCACGGCUAACUCUGUGCCAGCAGCCGCGGUAAUACAGAGGUGGCAAGCGUUGUUCGGAAUUAUUGGGCGUAAAGAGCACGUAGGUGGGUUUGUAAGUCAGAUGUGAAAGCCUUCUGUUCAGCGGGAGAAUUGCAUCUGAAACUGCAAGUCUUGAGUAUAGGAGGGGAGAAUGGAACUUCUGGUGGAGCGGUGAAAUGCGUAGAUAUCAGAAGGAACGCCGGCGGCGAAAGCGAUUCUCAGGCCUAUUACUGACACUCAGUGUGCGAAAGUUAGGGGAGCAAACGGGAUUAGAUACCCCGGUAGUCCUAACUGUAAACGAUGGGCACUAAGUAGAGGGGUUUU
rnacentral:rRNA from 1 species